rnacentral:rRNA from 1 species
GAUGAACGCUAGCGGCAGGCUUAAUACAUGCAAGGCGAAGGGGCAGCAAUGUCACUGUCGUACGGGUGCGUAACGCGUAUGCGACCUACCUAUCACUGGGGGGAUAGCCCCGGGGGAAACCCGGAUUAAUACCGCAUAACACAGGGGCUCCUCAUGGAGAUAUUUGUUAAAGAUUUAUCGGCGGUAGAUGGGCAUGCGUU